UACGUAGGUGGCAAGCGUUGUCCGGAUUUAUUGGGCUUAAAGGGUGCGUAGGCGGCCCUGUAAGUCAGUGGUGAAAGCCCUUCGCUUAACGAAGGAACUGCCAUUGAUACUGCAAAUCUUGAGUACAUUUGAUGAGGGCGGAAUGUGUCAUGUAGCGGUGAAAUGCUUAGAUAUGACACAGAACACCGAUUGCGAAGGCAGCUCUCAAAACUGUAACUGACGCUGAGGCACGAAAGCGUGGGUAUCAAACAGG
rnacentral:rRNA from 1 species